UACGUAGGGGGCAAGCGUUGUCCGGAAUCAUUGGGCGUAAAGCGCGUGUAGGCGGCUCGGUAAGUCUGCUGUGAAAGUCCAGGGCUCAACCCUGGGAUGCCGGUGGAUACUGUCGAGCUCGAGUCCGGAAGAGGCGAGUGGAAUUCCUGGUGUAGCGGUGAAAUGCGCAGAUAUCAGGAGGAACACCAAUGGCGAAGGCAGCACUCUGGGACGUGACUGACGCUGAGACGCGAAAGCGUGGGGAGCG
rnacentral:rRNA from 1 species